AUGGAAGAUGCUGAUAAUUCUGAGAAGAGUGUAAAUGAAGAAAAUGGAGAAGUAUCAGAAGACCAAUCUCAAAAUAAGCACAGUCGCCACAAAAAAAAGAAGCAUAAACACAGAAGUAAACAUAAGAAACAUAAACAUUCCUCAGAAGAAGACAAGGAUAAAAAGCAUAAACAUAAGCAUAAACAUAAGAAACACAAAAGAAAAGAGGUUAUUGAUGCUUCUGACAAAGAAGGUAUGUCUCCAGCAAAAAGAACUAAACUCGAUGAUUUAGCUUUGCUAGAAGACUUGGAAAAACAGAGAGCCUUGAUUAAAGCUGAACUUGAUAAUGAGUUAAUGGAAGGAAAGGUCCAAUCCGGGAUGGGGCUAAUUUUACAAGGUUAUGAGUCUGGCUCUGAAGAAGAGGGGGAAAUACAUGAAAAGGCAAGAAAUGGAAAUAGGUCUAGUACUAGAUCUUCAAGUACAAAGGGGAAACUUGAACUUGUGGACAGUAAAAAUAGUACGAAAAAGCGAAGUAAAAGCAGAUCCAAAGAACGGACUAGACAUAGGUCGGAUAAAAAGAAAAGUAAGGGAGGUGUUGAAGUAGUAAAAGAAAAGACAACUAGGAGCAAGUCAAAGGAGAGGAAAAAGUCUAAAAGUCCAUCCAAGAGAAGUAAGUCCCAAGAUCAAGCAAGAAAAUCAAAAUCCCCUGCCCUUAGAAGGCGAUCUCAAGAGAAAGUCGGGAAAGCCAGAUCUCCUACUGAUGAUAAGGUUAAAAUUGAAGAUAAAAGUAAGUCAAAAGAUAGGAAAAAAUCUCCAAUUAUAAAUGAAAGUAGAAGUCGUGAUCGAAGUAAAAAAUCCAGAUCCCCAGUUGACUUAAGAGGUAAGUCCAAAGACAGAAGGUCACGGUCCAAAGAGAGAAAAUCAAAACGGUCUGAAAUUGAUAAAGAAAAGAAGCCAAUUAAGUCUCCCUCUAAAGAUGCUUCUUCUGGGAAAGAAAAUAGAUCACCCAGUAGAAGACCGGGUCGUAGUCCUAAAAGAAGAAGUUUGUCUCCAAAACAACGUGAUAAAUCAAGAAGAAGUAGAUCUCCACUUUUAAAUGAUAGAAGAUCUAAACAGAGCAAAUCACCUUCUCGGACUCUGUCUCCUGGUAGAAGAGCCAAGAGCCGAUCCUUAGAAAGAAAACGAAGAGAACCAGAGAGGAGGCGACUUUCUUCUCCAAGGUAA